rnacentral:RNase_P_RNA from 21 species
CCAGGGGGCCGGGCAGCCGCUCCUUCGACAAGCUCAGGAUGAGCGGGUUGUUAGGAGAGGAAAGUCCGGGCUCCACGAAGCAAGGGUGGCGGGUAACACCCGCCCGGUGACCCCGGAUUACGUCCGGGGGAGCCGAGGGACAGUGCCACAGAGAGCAGACCGCCUGAUCCGUCAGGCAAGGGUGAAAGGGUGCGGUAAGAGCGCACCGGGGGGCUGGCGACAGUCUCCGCAUGGCAAACCCCACCCGGAGCAAGGCCAAAUAGGGACCUCGCGCCGAAAGGCAGGAACGCUUCGUUCCGAGAGGUCCGGGUUGGCUGCUUGAGCGCGCGAGCAAUCGCUCGCCCAGAUGAAUGGCUGCCCCUGCAUCAGCAGGACAGAACCCGGCUUACAGGCCCCCUGGCACU